rnacentral:lncRNA from 1 species
UCUUUCUUUCUUCUGCUCUAAACUUGAUACAAAAGACAUGUCAAGCUUAUAGUAGAUGUGUAAUAUAUGUAAUACAUUUUGGAUGAAUAAGUAAGUCAAAAACAUGUCUACUUAGCGAAAGCAGUGGAGGUUAACCUUGUGAUGGGAAGAGUAGAAUGGAGAGCAAGCUGCCAGAGUCUCCUGGGACUCCUCAGAGUCAUGAGCUUCUGUAUACUGAAUUAGAUCUUAGAUGGCUCCUUGAACAUCAGUGAGACACCAAAAAGGAACUAAGGUGAAGGUGGUGGCUGCUUCCCCUAUCUUAGUGGAAAGCAUAACAAGUGACAAUGCUCCCCUCUACCCUGCUGCUUCUGAGUAACCUCAGCAGGCAGAGUUCUCAUUGGAGCAAAAUGACAGUGUGACAAGAUAUGAUUGGCCAAGAAUUUAUGCCUAGGGAUCGGCUAAGCACUGUAUACAAAUGUAUGUGCUCUGCAAUAAAUUCAGAUCUGCACCCUGAUGUUGGUCUCCCAUGUCUGAUUCCUGGAAUUGGUGAUAUGUCUCUUUUGCCGCUCUCCCCCCAUCCUCCAUUCUGUUCCCACAGCAGUGUCUAUAAAUGAAUAACUAACUCAUAUAACUCAAUACUUUCAGCCACAGGCUGUGAGUCAAAACUAAGUUGUGGAUGUCUUGGGAAGAUCUAUAUCUGUAUCUGUAUCUAUGUCUAUAUCAUCUAUAUCUAUAUCAUCUAUAUCUAUAUCAUUUAUAUCUACAUCAUCUAUAUCUAUAUCUAUAUCUAUAUCUAUAUCUAUAUCUAUAUCUAUCUAUAUCUAUGGCACACAUAAUGUUUCUAAAUUAUUGGACCCUAGUGUUUAUGUUUGUAUUUAUUAUAUGUGAAUUUAACUACUCUGCUUAUUUUUUUUAAAGUUUCUUUGUUGUGAGUGUGUUCAUAUAUGUGUGCAUGUGUCUCUGCCUGCCACGGCUCACAUAUGAAGGUCAGAGGAAGACGCGCUGGAGUCUUUUCCUUCCUUUAACCAUAUGAGUACCAGGGGAUCAAACUCAGAUCAUCGGGUUUGGUGGCAAAUGCCCUCACCUGCUGAUCAUAUUGUUGGAUCUAACUGCACUACUUAGUCAAAUCUAAGAACCUAUUGUUGCCUCCAAAAUCCAUCAUU